rnacentral:rRNA from 1 species
GUGGGGAAUUUUGGACAAUGGGCGCAAGCCUGAUCCAGCAAUGCCGCGUGCAGGAAGAAGGCCUUCGGGUUGUAAACUGCUUUUGUACGGAACGAAAAGGCUCUGGUUAAUACCUGGGGCUCAUGACGGUACCGUAAGAAUAAGCACCGGCUAACUACGUGCCAGCAGCCGCGGUAAUACGUAGGGUGCAAGCGUUAAUCGGAAUUACUGGGCGUAAAGCGUGCGCAGGCGGUUUUGUAAGACAGAGGUGAAAUCCCCGGGCUCAACCUGGGAGAUGCCUUUGUGACUGCAAGGCUAGAGUACGGCAGAGGGGGAUGGAAUUCCGCGUGUAGCAGUGAAAUGCGUAGAUAUGCGGAGGAACACCGAUGGCGAAGGCAAUCCCCUGGGCCUGUACUGACGCUCAUGCACGAAAGCGUGGGGAGCAAACAGGAUUAGAAACCCUGGUAGUCC